rnacentral:rRNA from 1 species
UAGCGUAGGGUGCGAGCGUUUGUCCGGGAAUUAUUGGGGCGUAAAGGGCUCGUAGGCGGUCUGUCACGUCGGGAGUGAAAACACGGGGCUUAACCCCGUGCCUGCUUCCGAUACGGGCAGACUAGAGGUAUGCAGGGGAGAACGGAAUUCCUGGUGUAGCGGUGAAAUGCGCAGAUAUCAGGAGGAACACCGGUGGCGAAGGCGGUUCUCUGGGCAUUACCUGACGCUGAGGAGCGAAAGUGUGGGGAGCGAACAGG